CGGGGCUCGGCCGGGGCGGCAAGGCGGGGCGGCCCGGGUGGGGGUCCCGGGACCACCCACGAGCGGCUACCGCGGCGUGGGGAGGCGGCCGUGGGGCGGAGGGUCUGGCCCACCCGGAUUCACGCCGCGGGAUCUCACGAGGCGCGAUCGCGCGCGGUGGCAGAGCGUCCACCGAGCGCAGAGCUGCAAGAUGGGAGGGGGCCGGGGAUGGAAGCUGCAUGGAGAAAAGAGACGCCCUUUGGAGAGAAAACUGCGUAUGCGAAUCGGAACAAAACAAAACUUUUGUCAGGAGUAAAUUUCCGGAGGAUCCCGGUUCGGUUCGCAGGUGGUGGAGACGACGCGCGGUCAAUCCGUGGUCUGCGGGAGCAGCCGUAUCCGGACCGACGGGGGCAUUGCUAGACGAGAGUCGGCCUGACCCUGUCCCUCUCUACGCGGAGGUGGAGAACCGGAGAGGGCGUCCUGGCUUCCAGACCAGCCCAGAGCAAAGCGCUCAGGUACCUCUAGUCUCCGGCCUGGGGGCUGGGUCGUUUUCCCGGACCUUUAUCUAAACAAGGUGAAAAGCAGCAGCAUUCAUCUGUCCACCUGAAGCACACGUUCACCCAACACCAA
rnacentral:lncRNA from 1 species